GGCGCGGCGGUCACUCGCGAACCUCGGCGAGGAUCCAGCGACGCGGAGCCGGCCGGAGGAGCGCUUCUCGUCGGAUGAGUGGGAAGACGGAGCCGGUCCUGCCGUUAACCGUCAGCCUCCGACUGCCGCUGAGGCCAACCGCCUGUCUUGGAAAUCGUCUCGUUUUAAACGUGCCGGGGCUCUGGUGCAAACCGUACCUGGAAGCGUGGCGCAAUGGAAAAGCUGUCAUUUCAGGGCUGCGCGAUAGCCCAGUUCCCGGCCUGGAGGUGUUAAAGCUGCAGCAGCUUAACCAAAAAGACUCAGAGGUACUGGACAAGAGUGCAGAGGUUCAGAUUUGCUGCUGUUGGAGUUACUGGGUCUUUUGCCGCUGAUUUAGAUGGACAUAGGAUGAGGCUGUACUUCUGGAAAGAGCCUCAAAGAAGCUUUCAUCUGUAGAAAACCCUACGAGAAAAGCACAGAACACUUUUUAGAAAUC
rnacentral:lncRNA from 1 species